rnacentral:rRNA from 1 species
UACAGAGGUCCCAAGCGUUGUUCGGAUUCACUGGGCGUAAAGGGUGCGUAGGUGGCGAGAUAAGUCUGAUGUGAAAUCUCCGAGCUUAACUCGGAACUGCCUUCGAUACUGCGGGUCUCGAGUCCGGGAGAGGUGAGUGGAAUUCCUAGUGUAGAGGUGAAAUUCGUAGAUAUUAGGAAGAACACCAGUGGCGAAGGCGGCUCACUGGCCCGGUACUGACGCUGAGGCGCGAAAGCGUGGGGAGCAAACAGG